UACGUAGGGUGCGAGCGUUGUCCGGAAUUACUGGGCGUAAAGAGCUUGUAGGCGGUUGUCGCGUCUGCCGUGAAAUUUCGAGGCUCAACCUCGAACUUGCGGUGGGUACGGGCAGACUAGAGUGUGGUAGGGGAGACUGGAAUUCCUGGUGUAGCGGUGAAAUGCGCAGAUAUCAGGAGGAACACCGAUGGCGAAGGCAGGUCUCUGGGCCACUACUGACGCUGAGAAGCGAAAGCAUGGGGAGCGAACAGG
rnacentral:rRNA from 1 species